rnacentral:rRNA from 1 species
AUUGAACGCUGGCGGCAUGCUUUACACAUGCAAGUCGAACGGUAACAGGUUAAGCUGACGAGUGGCGAACGGGUGAGUAAUGCAUCGGAACGUGCCCGAUCGUGGGGGAUAACGCAGCGAAAGCUGCGCUAAUACCGCAUGCGAUCUGAGGAUGAAAGCGGGGGACCGUAAGGCCUCGCGCGAUCGGAGCGGCCGAUGUCAGAUUAGGUAGUUGGUGGGGUAAAGGCCCACCAAGCCGACGAUCUGUAGCUGGUCUGAGAGGACGACCAGCCACACUGGGGCUGAGACACGGCCCAGACGCCUACGGGAGGCAGCAGUGGGGAAUUUUGGACAAUGGGCGAAAGCCUGAUCCAGCAAUGCCGCGUGCAGGAAGAAGGCCUUCGGGUUGUAAACUGCUUUUGUACGGAGCGAAAAGGUCCUUUCUAAUACAAGGGGCUCAUGACGGUACCGUAAGAAUAAGCACCGGCUAACUACGUGCCAGCCGCCGCAGUAA